GGUUGUGGUUCAGUGGUAGGCAGAGCGCCUGCCUAGCAUGCAUGAGGCACUGGGUUCGAUCCUCAGCACCA
rnacentral:tRNA from 1 species